CUCAGAGUAACAUCACAAGCAUAAUAUAUCUACAUACAAAUAUAUUUAAAUAGACGGAUAAGGCGUUUAAUUGGAAAGUCUAGCUAAACGCGCGCGCGCGCGGGGGUGUAUUUUAAUGUUAAAACAUCCUGAGAAUAGUUUGCCAACCUGAGCCGCGCGCGCUCAACGCCACUUCUAUAUAGAGGCCUGGGUACGAGGCCGCGGAUCAUCUGUCAUGCCAAACCAAUGAGCUCUAUACAUAUAACUGGAGUAAGAACUUCAGUCAUUCGGCCUAAGAGAAAAGUGAAGCCAAAAUGGCGGCUAUUGACGUCCAAUAGCUAUGAAGAUCGUAAACAGUUUGAUACCUUUUUUCCAGUUAAUUCUAGUGUUUUUCGAAAGGACCGUAUCGCUAAUCAAGUUUUCAGUUCAUAAAACCAUAGUAUUAUUCUUUAAAUCGAAGUCAAAAUACGAAAUUUCGGUACCUUCUUUGCAGAUUCGUGUUCACCGCGCAGCAUCCAUUUUGGCUUCACUUUUCAGGCAAUAAGUGGACGCAAGCCUAGACUUGCUCCAAGUCUCUCUUUCAUUGUCAUAUAGUGUCGAUGUCAUAUAGUGUCGAUACACUA